GACGAACGCUGGCGGCGUGCCUAAUACAUGCAAGUCGAGCGAAUGGAUUAAGAGCUUGCUCUUAUGAAGUUAGCGGCGGACGGGUGAGUAACACGUGGGUAACCUGCCCAUAAGACUGGGAUAACUCCGGGAAACCGGGGCUAAUACCGGAUAACAUUUUGAACCGCAUGGUUCGAAAUUGAAAGGCGGCUUCGGCUGUCACUUAUGGAUGGACCCGCGUCGCAUUAGCUAGUUGGUGAGGUAACGGCUCACCAAGGCAACGAUGCGUAGCCGACCUGAGGGGGUGAGCGGCCAAACUGGGACUGGGACCCGGCCCAGACUCCUACGGGGGGCAGCAGUAGGGAAUCUUCCGCAAUGGACGAAAGUCUGACGGAGCAACGCCGCGUGAGUGAUGAAGGCUUUCGGGUCGUAAAACUCUGUUGUUAGGGAAGAACAAGUGCUAGUUGAAUAAGCUGGCACCUUGACGGUACCUAACCAGAAAGCCACGGCUAACUACGUGCCAGCCGCCGCCGUAA
rnacentral:rRNA from 1 species